rnacentral:lncRNA from 1 species
GCGGGUGGAGCCGAAGAGGGCGCGGGAGUCGUCGUCGUCUUCGCCGGAGAAGAAGUCCUCGUCGAGGGUUCCGACGCGGGUGAGCUGGAGGAAGGGGCGGUGGCGGCGGCGGAGGGUGACCGGAGAGGGCUGGGGGAUCGGGAGGAGGUGGGGUUGGCGGCGAGGUCGAGGCGGGAGAGGAGGGACUUGAGGGAAGGGUCGCGGUCGAUGAAGGCGGUGAGGAGGUGGGUCCCGUUCUCGACGACGGUGCGGAAGGAGAAGAUGAGGAGGGAGAGGAAGAGGAAGGUGAGGAGGUUGGAGAAGAAGGAGGCCGAGGCUUGCCGGAGGAGCUGCGGCGUGCUCCUGAGGUGGUGGAGCCGCGGGUGGUGCUGGUGCUGGUGGUGGUGGUGAUCGCUCAUGUCGCGUUUCGUACCGUCAGAAACGUUUGUUUCUUUUUUCUUUUUGGGUUUUUCUGGUUCGGGUUUUUUUUGUUUUGGGACUUUCGAUGUGCGUACUGCGUGAGAGAGAGAGAGGCGAGUGUGUGUUUUGCAGUAGCGUGGGAUGGUUUCGCGGAUGGUGCUCUGGCGCGUGAGUAUCACCCCGGGUAGUCGGAUCGGG